UACGUAGGGGGCAAGCGUUGUCCGGAAUCAUUGGGCGUAAAGAGCGUGUAGGCGGCCCGAUAAGUCCGCUGUGAAAGUCCAGGGCUCAACCCUGGGAUGCCGGUGGAUACUGUCGGGCUCGAGUCCGGAAGAGGAGUGUGGAAUUCCUGGUGUAGCGGCGAAAUGCGCAGAUAUCAGGAGGAACACCAAUGGCGAAGGCAGCACUCUGGGACGUGACUGACGCUGAGACGCGAAAGCGUGGGGAGCAAACAGG
rnacentral:rRNA from 1 species